GGGUCCGUAGUGUAGCUCGGAUAGCAUAGGGGCUUCCGGAGCCUCAGGCUCGGGUUCAAAUCCCGACGGGCCCG
rnacentral:tRNA from 2 species